CAGCAAGAGAAGACAGCCUCCUAACAACACGAGGAGGAACUUCACAAUCACAGGGUGACUGGAUUCCUUGCUGGACACCUACCCAUCCUCGCCUCACGUGCAUUCAUGCUGCUGAAUAGGUUACAUCUCUUUUUUGACAUUUGGCGAGUCUUCAUGGCUAACAGUGAUGAGCUAAUGAUUAUCGAGAGAUGCUGUACAACUUAAAGACACCUGCUUCCACCCAAAGAAGGUAACUCUAUACUAAUAAUAGCACAUUCCUGCAUGAAUU